CUACGGGUCGCUCCAGUGAGGAAUUUUGCGCAAUGGGGGAAACCCUGACGCAGCAACGCCGCGUGAGUGAAGAAGGCUUUCGGGUCGUAAAGCUCUGUCAGAUAGGAAAAAAGUUCAUAUGUAAAUAGCUUAUGAAUCUGAUGGUACUAUCAGAGGAAGCACCGGCUAACUCCGUGCCAGCAGCCGCGGUAAUACGGAGGGUGCAAGCGUUGUUCGGAAUUACUGGGCGUAAAGGGCGUGUAGGCGGUAUGGUAAGUCAGAUGUGAAAGCCCUGGGCUUAACUCAGGAAGUGCAUUUGAUACUGCCAGCCUUGAGUAUGGGAGAGGAGAGUAGAAUUCCCAGUGUAGAGGUGAAAUUCGUAGAUAUUGGGAGGGAUACCCGUGGCGAAGGCGACUCUCUGGACCAAUACUGACGCUGAGACGCGAAAGCGUGGGGAGCAAACAGGAUUAGAUACCCUGGUAGUC
rnacentral:rRNA from 1 species